rnacentral:rRNA from 1 species
AUUGAACGCUGGCGGCAGGCCUAACACAUGCAAGUCGAACGGUAACAGGAAACAGCUUGCUGUUUCGCUGACGAGAGGGGGACGGGUGAGUAAUGCCCGGGAAACUGCCUGAUGGAGGGGGAUAACUACUGGAAACGGUAGCUACUACCGCAUAACGUCGUAAGACAAAAGAGGGGGAACUUCGGGACUCUUGCCAUCAGAUGUGCCCAGAUGGGAUUAGCUAGUAGGUGGGGUAACGGCUCACCUAGGCGACGAUCCCUAGCUGGGCUGAGAGGAUGACCAGCCACACUAGAACUGAGACACGGUCCAGACUCCUACGGGAGGCAGCAGUGGGGAAUAUUGCACAAUGGGCGCAAGCCAAGUGCAACCAUGCCGCGUAUAUGAAGGAGGCCUUCGGGUUUUAAAGUACUUUCAGCGGGGAGGAAGGGUAUAGAGUUAAUACCUUGGCUCAUUGACGUUACCCGCAGAAGAAGCACCGGCUAACUCCGUG